CGGAGGAUGCAAGUGUUAUCCGGAAUCACUGGGCGUAAAGCGUCUGUAGGUGGUUAAAUAAGUCAACUGUUAAAUCUUGAGGCUCAACUUCAAAAUCGCAGUCGAAACUAUUAGACUAGAGUAUAGUAGGGGUAAAGGGAAUUUCCAGUGGAGCGGUGAAAUGCGUAGAGAUUGGAAAGAACACCAAUGGCGAAAGCACUUUACUGGGCUAUUACUGACACUGAGAGACGAAAGCUAGGGUAGCAAAUGGG
rnacentral:rRNA from 1 species